GGGGGAAUUUUUCCAGACAAUAUAAAAAGUAAAUUCCAAAUUUUUUGAUUCCCGGGUAAUUUUUAAGUGUUUCCCGGCUGUACUAAUUAGAGCAUGGUUUAUUUAACUCACAGCCAAGUGUUUUCAACUAAAAAUAAUACUAAACCUAAUUUAUUUUACUCCGCCUCCUCUCUCACUCUUGUUUUUUGUCGGCACCUCCUCUCUCAAUCCAUCUUCUCUUCCUUCAUCGUUCCAUCUUCUCUGUUCUUCAAUCUCCGUUUCCUCUUCUUAUUCAGUCGAAUCUUCUUUCUUCCUCUAACUCCCUCGUUCCGAAAUCUCUCAUCUUCUGUUUAAGAUGAUUUGCAGAUGAAUAUCAGAGGACUAUUUCCUCUGCUUCUCGACAUCCACUUCCUAGAUUGGCGGUAGUGAUGGGUGCACCAGAGAGACGUAAUAGAUGUUUAUGAUGGCAACUAAUGUUGAUACCGAACCCAAGGAGUCUCCUGCAGCUUCUCUACGUAGAAAUGUUGGAGUUGAUGGACGAUUGACCACUGUGGAGGAUGUUGUGACUGGGCUGAAGGAUAGUGUUUCUGGGUUGAAGCAAAG